rnacentral:rRNA from 1 species
UGGGGAAUUUUGGACAAUGGGCGCAAGCCUGAUCCAGCAAUGCCGCGUGUGUGAAGAAGGCCUUCGGGUUGUAAAGCACUUUUGUCCGGAAAGAAAUCCGUCUGGCUAAUACCCGGACGGGAUGACGGUACCGGAAGAAUAAGCACCGGCUAACUACGUGCCAGCAGCCGCGGUAAUACGUAGGGUGCGAGCGUUAAUCGGAAUUACUGGGCGUAAAGCGUGCGCAGGCGGCUUUGUAAGACAGAUGUGAAAUCCCCGGGCUCAACCUGGGAACUGCAUUUGUGACUGCAAGGCUAGAGUGCGUCAGAGGGAGGUGGAAUUCCGCGUGUAGCAGUGAAAUGCGUAGAGAUGCGGAGGAACACCGAUGGCGGAGGCAGCCUCCUGGGAUGACACUGACGCUCAUGCACGAAAGCGUGGGGAGCAAACA